UGAAACUUUCCAGUUGGUUAGGUAACAACGUUCUGUAGGAUUAACCAAUGAUAAUGACAGACCAACCAACGAAAAAAGAAGUUGCUCCUUGUAGUUUUCCUAAGCUUAUAAAGUUGAUUCCUUUUCUGUCACAUCCAUGUCUAACUUUCACACUUGUGUUCUUGAAAAGCAGACUAAUCAAUGCUCAUAUGACCAUGAAUUUCUUGUCCUUUUCCAUGGACUAAAAAAGCGUAUGCACAUGCAUGUUUUCUCUAAAAUGGCUUGAUGGUUGGUUCAUUGCAAAUAUCUGAAUUGCUCCCGCAUUUGAUAAUCACGAAGGAAGAUUCAAUUAGAUGGGUUAUUAAUGCCUAACAAAUAUAUCCUCUUUCUUAUCAGAUAGGGAUUGUAUGGUUCUUGUACAUAGACAAUUGCUAGGUUUUGUGAAAUGUGCAGAUAAGGUGUUUCUCUUUUGUUGAUAUUCUUGCAGAGAUCUGAUUAGCUUAUGGAAAAUGGUUGCUGGAAACACCAUAACAUGAUUAUGUUUUAGUAGCUGAAGAUAUUAGUUGAGGCAGAUUGAUCAUCAAUGGCCUACUACAGCUCCUGCUAUGAUGAUGAUUAUCAGAGUGAGUACUAUAACGCUACAACUAUAAUGAGCACCAAAUUUUUGCCCAUGAUCCGCUUCCUUAUUAUGAUUUACGAUCGUGUCUCAAGUUUACACAAGAAUUGCAUGCUCUGCCUCUACUUUCUGUGAGCCUGUGUGUAUUGAGAAUGAUCCUGGUCCUUGCUAUCAUGAACAGACGCGGUUCAUUGUCUCGUAUAAGGUCUCCGAGUUUAACGAGACUGAGUUCGAAGAAUACGAUCCAACUGCUUUUGGUGGUGGCUAUGAUCCUGCUGCAACUUACGGAAAACCUCUUCCUCCCUCGGACAAAAUUUGUUACCCUAGUUCAACGCCGGAUCCGAAUGCCUUAUCAUUAAUGGUGUCUCCUAUGGAUCGAUUACAGCACCUUACGGAAAAGUUGAAGUCAAUGAACCUGCUCCGAAACCUCGAAGUGAAAGGAAACCGCUUAGGCUUCCUGCUAUUGAAGCAGCGCCGCUGUCCCCUUGAACAUGGCAAUGGCAAAGGAAAUUCCCAAGAGAAGUCUCUAGUCUUGCAUAAAGGUGAAGAAAGUGAGGAAAACGAGGGUGAUCAUCACGAUUCUUUGCCUGGCUAUGAUGCUGGAUAUUGCAAUGGAUCAAGUGGAGAACUUGGUUACGAGUAUGGCCAGGAAGUGCACAAAUUCCAUCAGGAUAUAUAUGGCUUGGAAGCAAUGGACCUUUGUGAAAGUUAUUUGGUUACUGGCCUUGUCUUUCUAGCAUGCUAGGAAUGACAAUGAUCGUCAACAAGCUACUGAUUGUGGAAGUUAUGGGAACCAAGGAAGGGAACUGCUGAUUAUCUAUUUGGAAGCUGAUCAAAUCCUUAUGCUGAAAGAAGGGAUGCAGGCAGCAGCUAUGGGAAUGCUAUCUAUGUCCAUGGGAGGCAUUAUCAAGAGGAAAUUCUCUAUUAACAGGUCAAGUAUAUAUGUUGAGGAUUGCUGGUCAGCUUGAGCAUGUUGCGCGGUCAUUUGUGCAUCUUCUUGAAUUAUUCAUCCAUUCCAGCCAAAAGGGUGGGUUUUUA